GAUGAACGCUGGCGGCGUGCCUAAUACAUGCAAGUCGAGCGAACAGACGAGGAGCUUGCUUCUCUGAUGUUAGCGGCGGACGGGUGAGUAACACGUGGAUAACCUACCUAUAAGACUGGGAUAACUUCGGGAAACCGGAGCUAAUACCGGAUAAUAUUUUGAACCGCAUGGUUCAAUAGUGAAAGACGGUCUUGCUGUCACUUAUAGAUGGAUCCGCGCUGCAUUAGCUAGUUGGUAAGGUAACGGCUUACCAAGGCAACGAUGCAUAGCCGACCUGAGAGGGUGAUCGGCCACACUGGAACUGAGACACGGUCCAGACUCCUACGGGAGGCAGCAGCAGGGAAUCUUCCGCAAUGGGCGAAAGCCUGACGGAGCAACGCCGCGUGAGUGAUGAAGGUCUUCGGAUCGUAAAACUCUGUUAUUAGGGAAGAACAUAUGUGUAAGUAACUGUGCACAUCUUGACGGUACCUAAUCAGAAAGCCACGGCUAACUACGUG
rnacentral:rRNA from 1 species